rnacentral:pre_miRNA from 1 species
AUUCUACUCCCUCUGUUGCACAAUACAUGCCUUCUAUUUGUCAAAAUAUAUAUGUACCUAGACAUGUUUUAGUAUAUAGGUACAUCCAUUUUUGGACAAAUGGAAGUCAAGUAUUUUGGAACGGAGGGAGUACACA